rnacentral:rRNA from 1 species
CAGUCGCCGCGGGAAUACGUAGGUGGCAAGCGUUGUCCGGAAUUAUUGGGCGUAAAGGGCUCGCAGGCGGUUUCUUAAGUCUGAUGUGAAAGUCCCCGGCUCAACCGGGGAGGGUCAUUGGAAACUGGGAAACUUGAGUGCAGAAGAGGAGAGUGGAAUUCCACGUGUAGCGGUGAAAUGCGUAGAGAUGUGGAGGAACACCAGUGGCGAAGGCGACUUUCUGGACGAAAACUGACGCUGAGGCGCGAAAGCCAGGGGAGCGAACGGGACUAGAUACCCGAGUAGUCCCUGUCUCUUAUAC